rnacentral:rRNA from 1 species
GACGAACGCUGGCGGCGUGCUUAACACAUGCAAGUCGAGCGGUAAGGCCCUUCGGGGUACACGAGCGGCGAACGGGUGAGUAACACGUGGGUGACCUGCCCUUAGCGUCUGGGACUAAGCCUGGGAAACUGGGUCUAAUACCGGAUAUGACUCCAUAACGCAUGUUGUGGGGUGAAAGCCUUGUGCGGCUAGGGAUGGGCCCGCGGCCUAUCAGCUUGUUGGUGGGGUGAUGGCCUACCAAGGCGACGACGGGUAGCCGGCCUGAGAGGGCGACCGGCCACACUGGGACUGAGACACGGCCCAGACUCCUACGGGAGGCAGCGAGUGGGGAAUCUUGCGCAAUGGGCGAAAGCCUGACGCAGCGACGCCGCGUGGGGAUGACGGCCU